GCUAACUUCUACUCCCAUCUGAAGAGACUGAACAUGAUUUAACUAACUGUACCUGGACUGAGUAACUGACUUCCGUUGACUGACAGAAUAGUACUACUAUCUGAGAAUUAACUGAGAUCAUGAGAUUUCUGAGAUUUCCUGUGUCAUAUGACUGACUGAGUUCUAUAGAUCAUGGCUUAACUGAGAUUAUCGUGAUAACAUGACAUAGCUCUA
rnacentral:lncRNA from 1 species